rnacentral:rRNA from 1 species
UACGUAGGGGGCAAGCGUUGUCCGGAUUCAUUGGGCGUAAAGAGCGUGUAGGCGGCCAGGUAGGUCGGUUGUGAAAACUGGAGGCUCAACCUUCAGAGGUCGACCGAAACCAUCUGGCUAGAGUCCGGGAGAGGAGAGUGGAAUUCCCGGUGUAGUGGUGAAAUGCGUAGAUAUCGGGAGGAACACCAGUGGCGAAGGCGACUUCCUGGCCUGUUCUUGACGCUGAGGCGCGAAAGCUAGGGUAGCAAACGGG